rnacentral:rRNA from 1 species
GACGAACGCUGGCGGCGUGCUUAACACAUGCAAGUCGAACGGAAAGGCCCUGCUUUUGUGGGGUGCUCGAGUGGCGAACGGGUGAGUAACACGUGAGUAACCUGCCCUUGACUUUGGGAUAACUUCAGGAAACUUGGGCUAAUACCGGAUAGGAGCUCCUGCUGCAUGGUGGGGGUUGGAAAGUUUCGGCGGUUGGGGAUGGACUCGCGGCUUAUCAGCUUGUUGGUGGGGUAGUGGCUUACCAAGGCUUUGACGGGUAGCCGGCCUGAGAGGGUGACCGGCCACAUUGGGACUGAGAUACGGCCCAGACUCAUACGGGAGGCAGGAGUGGGGAAUAUUGCACAAUGGGCGGAAGCCUGAUGCAGCAACGCCGCGUGCGGGAUGACGGCCUUCGGGUUGUAAACCGCUUUCGCCUGUGACGAAGCGUGAGUGACGGUAAUGGGUAAAGAAGCACCGGCUAACUACGUG